rnacentral:lncRNA from 1 species
AACCCUGACCCGCCUCAUUCGCCCAAAUCAUAACACACGCGAAAGGAGACUCACAAAAUUCCUAAAUCAAACACGUACUGUUCUUCUUCUCCAAAGGACACGCGAACCAAGCCCCAAAUUUCGUUCAAAUUCGGGUGAAUAAUUCCCAAAUCCCAACCACACGUCCCUCAUUCUCUCAUCUUGUCGUUUCUAAUGGUUUCUGAUGCAAGAUUUCCCUCCCCUCUCACUCGCUCGAAUUCGAGUUUUAUCCCACGAUUGGAAGGCUCUGGUGUGAGGCGUUGGAUUGAUUUCACUCAAUCUGAGCCCCACAUUCAUUAAGGAUUGGUCUGCAAAAGAAGACUUAUCUGAUUUUGUGAGGGGGAAUCUGGAAAAUUUGGAGAGAAGAAAAAGUUGAAACGUUUUUGGGAACUAAUAGUUUUUCUGAAUUUAUUUUUUUUGACGAAUUCUUUCAAAGUUUGAGAGAAACAUAUAUACAAUUUUUUUUCUUAUUUUUUGAAUCUAUAUUUGAGUUCCAAUGAGAUAAAACUAGAAGUUCAAGCUUCGUUUUCUACUGUCGUCUUGCUGAUUUGUUGCUGAACCUCGCUAGUAUUUGGAGUCGAGAGUUGUAUUGUCGAGUUUAUAAUUGUUAUAAAAGAAUAUUUGCAACUUCAGGUUCAAUUUUUCUCUCUUUAUUUCUAUGCAACUCUAUUUCGUUUCCAUGUUUUUUGAGCUAUGAGAUUCAGUCUGGAGUG